UAGAUUCCUUUACCUGCGUAGGCCUUCUGAAGCAGCAUUUGAAGUUGCAGUCCUGAAAACCAUGCAGGCUGGAAGAGUAUCUAAAUAAAUAUUUAUUUGAGAUGGCACAUGUUUCUUCAGAAACUCAAGUUGUUUCUCCCAGAGAUGAAUUAACUGAUUCAGAAGCCUCCACUAGGUCUCCACCGUGUAAACACACAUUCCCAGGGGACUCAGACUUAAGGAAACUUUGGAAAAUACUUGAAAGUGACCAACUCAAGUCUGUUCUGUGGGUUGAGAAUGGAACUUGUGUGGUGAUUAAUGAAGAACUCUUCAAGAAAGAAAUUUUCGAUAUAAAGGCUCCUUACAGAAUAUUUCAAAGUGACAGUAUCAAAAGUUUUGUUCGACAGCUCAACCUUUAUGGAUUUAGUAAAAUUCGACAGAAUUUUCAAAGAUCUGCCAUUCUAGCCACCUUUCUGGCAGAAGAGAAUGAAUCCAUUGUCUUAAGCAAGAUAUUUAACAUAUUCAGUUACAACUUUACAUAGAGUAUAUAAGUAAUUUUACUUUGUACAUCAGUAAAUAUGUUAAUACAUGUAGUAAGACCAGAUUUUGAACAUUAUAUAAAAUAUUAAGGUAAAAUUUAUUUAAUUUUUUGAAAUUAUUGAGUUCAGCUUAAGCAUUAACCUUUCAGGGUUUUAAGAAAUUUUGCUAACAACUUUGAAUCUUACCAGUGAAAUCAAAAUAAAUGUACCAAAGCCACUUAAUGCAAUGUUACUAUUAAUGUAUGACAUGUUUUCACUUGAGAGCUUAACAACUUGAGUGCUUUCUUCCCAACAAGCACAUUCUUGAAAAUAGUAAACCAUGUUCACGAAUUAUUUGAUGACAAUAAGUUUGUGUGAUGAAACAGAAAUCUGAUAUUUUAUGUGUUAUGUUUGUUAUUGUCACUUGUCUCAACAAAUUGCAACACAUCAACAUGCUAUUUUAAAUCAGUUGUACGCUAUUCAUGUGACCACUAUUCUUAUGCACUCUCAUACCAUCUACAUCAAAGCAAGUGACCACAUUGCAAAUUUCAUUGCAACCACAACUUCUCAAUACUGCAACAUAUCUCCCUUGCAAAACCGUUAUCUGGGGCUGACAGGGGAACCAUCUGCUCUUCCAACAAGAUAUCCUGUGGUAUCAGUCAACGAGGCUCCACAUCCUAACCUGCUACCAGCAGGCAACCCAUGGUUGCAAAUGCCUACAAUAGCUAAUACAUCAUCUCUCCCUCAUUCCAGGCCAGCUCUUCAACCAUCACGACUGGACAAAUAUCACCGUAAUUACAACUGAUCUUCCACUAAAAGAGCACCAGAUUAGGCAUGACAACAGAGACUAACAUUUACAUCGACCAAUAAAACCCUAGACAUUUCUGCAAUUAUCUUACUGAAUAAUAAAACUGCAUGUCGACUUUCA